AUGGAUCACGAACCUAGUACCACAAGAAGUGACCUGGAGAGCAUGCUACUUGAUGAAGCAUCGGAGCCCAAGGCCCAGCCAUUAUCAAUUUUGGCAGAAAUUACAAAUGAUUUCCCUGAUAAGCAGGAAAUUGACGGAGGUGGUUUUGCGGUGCUAUGUAAGGAAAUCACAGGGUCCACCCACGAGCGACCUAUACUUGACGUUCACCCACUGGAGCUCCGCUUCCCCUCUGAACCCAAUGACGACCACGAAGACGAUGACUAUAUCAUGUGCCCACUGCACCUAACAAACAACACAAGUGAAAAUGUGGCAUUCAAACUUAUUGACAAGGGCAGGCGGUGCGAUAACCGGCAUCUGCAUGGCAUUGUGCCUCCCAGAGCCACCUGCACAUUGUUUGUGAGAGCCAAAGAUAAUGAAAUGGACUACGGUAACUGUUAG
rnacentral:rRNA from 1 species